CAGCAGACACAUUCCAGCCAAUCAGCAGCAGACCCUCCCUCUCAGACCCUCCCACCUCCUGGACAGCAUCCAUUUUGAAGCUGCAUUCUUAGUGAGCUGUCCAGGAGGUGGGAGGGUCUGGGAGGGAGGGUCUGCUGCUGAUUGGCUGGAAUGUGUCUGCU